GCGCUGUUCGUUCAGUGGUAGGAUCAUAGCUUCCCAAGCUAUUGGCGCGGGUUCGAUUCCCGCACGGCGCA
rnacentral:tRNA from 1 species